AGUGAACGCUGGCGGUAGGCCUAACACAUGCAAGUCGAACGGCAGCACAGUAAGAGCUUGCUCUUACGGGUGGCGAGUGGCGGACGGGUGAGGAAUACAUCGGAAUCUACUUUUUCGUGGGGGAUAACGUAGGGAAACUUACGCUAAUACCGCAUACGACCUACGGGUGAAAGCAGGGGAUCUUCGGACCUUGCGCGAUUGAAUGAGCCGAUGUCGGAUUAGCUAGUUGGCGGGGUAAAGGCCCACCAAGGCGACGAUCCGUAGCUGGUCUGAGAGGAUGGGCAGGUACACGGGAACGGAGACAAGGGCGAGACUCCUAAGUGAGGCAGCAGGGGGGAAUAUUGGACGAGGGGCGCAAGCAUGAUCCAGCUAUACCGCGUGGGGGAAGAAGGCCUUAGGGUGGGAAAGCCAUUUUGGUGGGAAAGAAAAGAAGCAGGUUAAUACCCGGCGGUUAUGACGGUACCGAAAGAAUAAGCACCGGCUAACUUAGUG
rnacentral:rRNA from 1 species